rnacentral:rRNA from 1 species
UGGGGAAUAUUGGACAAUGGGGGAAACCCUGAUCCAGCAAUGCCGCGUGUGUGAAGAAGGCCUUCGGGUUGUAAAGCACUUUUAGUGGGGAAGAAAUGCUCAAGGCGAAUAACCUUGAGAGUUGACAUUACCCACAGAAAAAGCACUGGCUAACUCUGUGCCAGCAGCCGCGGUAAUACAGAGAGUGCAAGCGUUAAUCGGAAUUACUGGGCGUAAAGCGCGUGUAGGUGGAUAUUUAAGUCGGAUGUGAAAUCCCCGGGCUUAACCUGGGAAUUGCAUUUGAUACUGGAUGUCUCGAGUAUGGUAGAGGGAAGUGGAAUUUCCGGUGUAGCGGUGAAAUGCGUAGAUAUCGGAAAGAACACCAGUGGCGAAGGCGACUUCCUGGACCAAUACUGACACUGAGACGCGAAAGCGUGGGGAGCAAACAGG